GUGUGUAUGUGUUAAGUAUUUAAUAUCUGAUACAUCCUCUAUCAGAGGACAAUAUAUUAAAUGGAUUUUUGGAAUUAGGAGAUGGAAUAGGAGCUUGCU